UACGAAGGGGGCUAGCGUUGCUCGGAAUUACUGGGCGUAAAGGGUGUGUAGGCGGAUACUUAAGUCGGGGGUGAAAGCCCAGGGCUCAACCCUGGAAUAGCCUUCGAUACUGGGUAUCUUGAGUUCGGGAGAGGUAAGCGGAACUCCGAGUGUAGAGGUGAAAUUCGUAGAUAUUCGGAAGAACACCAGUGGCGAAGGCGGCUUACUGGCCCGAUACUGACGCUGAGACACGAAAGCGUGGGGAGCAAACAGG
rnacentral:rRNA from 1 species